rnacentral:rRNA from 1 species
AGAGCGAACGCUGGCGGCAGGCCUAACACAUGCAAGUCGAGCGCCCGUAGCAAUACGGGAGCGGCAGACGGGAUAGUAACACGUGGGAACGCGCCCUUCGGUUCGGAAUAACUCAGGGAAACUUGAGCUAAUACCGGAUACGCCCUUACGGGGAAAGAUUUAUUGCCGAAGGAACGGCCCGCGUCCGAUUAGCUAGUUGGUGAGGUAAUGGCUCACCAAGGCGACGAUCGGUAGCUGGUCUGAGAGGAUGACCAGCAUCACUGGGACUGAGACACGGCCCAGACUCCUACGGGAGGCAGCAGUGGGGAAUAUUGGACAAUGGGCGCAAGCCUGAUCCAGCCAUGCCGCGUGGAUGAUGAAGGCCUUAGGGUUGUAAAGUCCUUUUAACGGGGAAGAUAAUGACGGUACCCGUAGAAUAAGCCCCGGCUAACGUUCGUGCCAGCAGCCGC